AUUUUGAUAUUCGCUCUUGUUGUUAUUCGGACUGAUAUUUUGAAGUGAGCGCGCGCCCCUCGUCAGUUUGCAUUGCAUAUGCUGGAGAGAGGAAGGCUUUUGUGAGAGCUCUUCAAUUAAAGAGAUUAUUAAGAUUAUUAAGUGUAGAAAUCCACUUGAUUCCACUUUGUAAACACUUCUGAGACUAUGAGAUGUUCUGGUGUAUGUUUUAUGUAAGAGGAGUGUUGAAUGGUGGUGAGACUGUUAAUAAACCUCUCUGGUGAACUGAAGUGAAAGUGUCCUGAGUUUCCUUCAACACAAAGCAGAUGAGAGAAGCAGCGGUUAUCAGCAGACCGGCAUCAUCAGCACGAGCAGAAGUACAGAUACUCAUCCUGGGAAGGGCAGACGAGCUGAGCUCCAAGGAAUCUAUUCUGAAGCCGCCCAUCCAGGAUCUUGCAGUCUGUCAUUCCUGCAGUCCAAAUACUCCAAUGAGUUCUAAUAUUUUACAAUGAGUUUUAAUUCUACAUAGAAAAAAGCAUGGCACCAUUUUUUAUGUUCUCUUUAGAAAUGUUAGAUGUUCGUAUGAGUGUCUUGUUUGAGUCGUCCUUCAUUUAGCAACUGGAAUGUUUUACUUGUGUAUGUGAGAUCAUUAAACUUUGUCUUUUAUAUUGA